rnacentral:tRNA from 1 species
GAGGGUACAGCCCAGUGGUAGAGGGCGUGCUUAGUGUGCACGAGGUCCUGGGUUCGAUCCCCAGUACCUCCA